rnacentral:sRNA from 1 species
CUCCAUGAGCAGAGAGGGACCCUGUACCCAGAGCAGAGCGGAGUGCUCGAGGAGCAAACCACGGGGCUCAGAGGAGGGCCCAGGGCUCCCACUCCUGAGAAGUGGCUUCCCAGCCCCUGGGGUGGGACACUUGUGCCAUGGGCUGGGGUGCCCCUCUGGGUGGCUCACAGCCUUGCUGUCCGUGCUGGCCAGGCUCCCUGAGGAGGUCCCCAGCUUCCAGCCACGACUGUUUGAGUGCUCCAGCCACAUGGGCUGCCUGGUCCUCGCAGAAGUGGUGUUCUUCAGCCAGGAGGACCUGGACAAGUAUGACAUCAUGUUGCUGGACACCUGGCAGGAGAUCUUCCUGUGGCUUGGGGAAGCUGCAAGUGAGUGGAAGGAGGCGGUGGCCUGGGGCCAGGAGUACCUGAAGACCCACCCAGCAGGGAGGAGCCCGGCCACACCCAUCGUGCUGGUCAAGCAGGGCCAUGAGCCUCCCACCUUCAUUGGAUGGUUCUUCACUUGGGACCCUUACAAGUGGACUAGCCACCCGUCCCACAAGGAAGUG